GACGAACGCUGGCGGCGUGCUUAACACAUGCAAGUCGAACGCUGAAGCUCAGCUUUUGUUGGGUGGAUGAGUGGCGAACGGGUGAGUAACACGUGAGUAACCUGCCUCCUUCUUUGGGAUAACGCCCGGAAACGGGUGCUAAUACUGGAUAUUCACUGGUCUUCGCAUGGGGGUUGGUGGAAAGGGUUUUUCUGGUGGGGGAUGGGCUCGCGGCCUAUCAGCUUGUUGGUGGGGUGAUGGCCUACCAAGGCUUUGACGGGUAGCCGGCCUGAGAGGGUGACCGGUCACAUUGGGACUGAGAUACGGCCCAGACUCCUACGGGAGGCAGCAGUGGGGAAUAUUGCACAAUGGGCGCAGGCCUGAUGCAGCGACGCCGCGUGAGGGAUGGAGGCCUUCGGGUUGUGAACCUCUUUCGCUCAUGGUCAAGCCGCAACAAUGGUUGUGGUGAGGGUAGUGGGUAAAGAAGCGCCGGCUAACUACGUG
rnacentral:rRNA from 1 species